GCUCAGGAUGAACGCUGGCGGCGCGCCUAACACAUGCAAGUCGAACGAGAGAUGAAGAGCUUGCUCUUCAGAUCGAGUGGCGAACGGGUGAGUAACGCGUGAGGAACCUGCCUCAAAGAGGGGGACAACAGUUGGAAACGACUGCUAAUACCGCAUAAGCCCACGGCUCGGCAUCGAGCAGAGGGAAAAGGAGCAAUCCGCUUUGAGAUGGCCUCGCGUCCGAUUAGCUAGUUGGUGAGGUAAUGGCCCACCAAGGCGACGAUCGGUAGCCGGACUGAGAGGUUGAACGGCCACAUUGGGACUGAGACACGGCCCAGACUCCUACGGGAGGCAGCAGUA
rnacentral:rRNA from 1 species